GGAUCCGAAGGUGAUUUGGCUGCACUAUCUGCCACCUCUUUGUUCACCAGAGUUGAAACUGCUGAUCUGGUUGCCUAGACUGGUGUUUCCUUCCUCCCUCCUCGCACCCCUCCAGAACCUGAGCACUCGGUCAAGAGGAUGACCUUCCCUUAUAGAAAAGAACCAGUCUUCUGUAAAGAAUAGAAGAGUAGCUGCACUUACCUGCUAGAAAUUCCAGACAAUUUCUCAAGAUCCUUUUU
rnacentral:lncRNA from 10 species